CCUACGGGUGGCAGCAGUGGGGAAUAUUGGGCAAUGGGCGCAAGCCUGACCCAGCAACGCCGCGUGAAGGAAGAAGGCUUUCGGGUUGUACACUUCUUUUGUCAGGGAAGAGUAGAAGACGGUACCUGACGAAUAAGCCACGGCUAACUACGUGCCAGCAGCCGCGGUACUACGUAGGUGGCAAGCGUUGUCCGGAUUUACUGGGGGUAAAGGGCGUGUAGCCGGGUUGACAAGUCAGAUGUGAAAUCCUGCGGCUUAACCGCAGAACUGCAUUUGAAACUGUUGAUCUUGAGUACUGGAGAGGCAGAUGGAAUGCCUAGUGGAGCGGUGAAAUGCGGAGAUAUUAGGAGGAACACCAGUGGCGAAGGCGGUCUGCUGGACAGCAACUGACGGUGAGGCGCGAAAGCGUGGGGAGCAAACAGGAGUAGAUACCCUGGUAGUC
rnacentral:rRNA from 1 species